rnacentral:rRNA from 1 species
CCUACGGGUGGCAGCAGUGGGGAAUAUUGGACAAUGGGCGAAAGCCUGAUCCAGCCAUGCCGCGUGUGUGAAGAAGGCCUUCGGGUUGUAAAGCACUUUCAGUGGGGAAGAAAGCCUUGGGGCUAAUACCCUCGAGGAAGGACAUCACCCACAGAAGAAGCACCGGCUAACUCCGUGCCAGCAGCCGCGGUAAUACGGAGGUUGCGAGCGUUAAUCGGAAUUACUGGGCGUAAAGCGCGCGUAGGCGGUCUGAUAAGCCGGUUGUGAAAGCCCCGGGCUCAACCUGGGAACGGCAUCCGGAACUGGCAGGGUAGAGUGCAGGAGAGGAAGGUAGAAUUCCCGGUGGAGCGGUGAAAUGCGUAGAGAUCGGGAGGAAUACCAGUGGCGAAGGCGGCCUUCUGGACUGACACUGACGCUGAGGUGCGAAAGCGUGGGUAGCAAACAGGAUUAGAUACCCGGGUAGUC